rnacentral:misc_RNA from 1 species
CAUUGCAUAAACACGCAAAAUGACGAGAACUCGCUCAACUUCCAGAGAGCUGCGGUCGUGCAUCGACGUCGAUCGAAAUAUUUACGAGCCUCGUAGCCGUCUCUGUGCUCCUCUGACACGAAUGAAGGUGCGAAUGUUUCGAGAUUCGUCGUGUGUGUUUAAUAUCCCGUUUGGAACGAAGUUUCCUCGCCUACACGUACACGCAAACUAUCACCUGUCUGCCGCUUUCGAUGACCGAUAAACAAAUUAUGGUGGCGGCGGAAGCGGGCAGAAAUGAAAUCACCGCUCAAAAGGAUCACCGUCGUAUGAUAAUGAUAAUGACGUAACAAGAGGAAAGAAAAUUUCAUUGGAACCAGUCUGAAUCAGCCGCGAACGAGACACGCCAAUCAAGAGGACCACUUGACUUAUGGAUCACUUUCAGAAUGAACCGCAGAAAGGACAUGCCGAUGAAAACUGUGGAUUCUCCAUAGGAUAAGCAACAUGUUCCGAAGGUCCUCUACAUUUCACAAGCAUCUGUAAACUUUAAACUCUAAACCAAAUGCCAUACCGCGUUCCAGUAGCCUCGAGGCUUCCAAAAACCCGAUCGACGAGGAAAAUACGAUGGAAAACCUUCUGUAUCCGCACGUUUCCCGCCGUUCGCGGUCAUUUGAAAUGGACAAUGCCGAAAUCCCACGAAACGGG